rnacentral:rRNA from 1 species
AUUGAACGCUGGCGGCAGGCCUAACACAUGCAAGUCGAACGAGUGGCGGACGGGUGAGUAAUGUCUGGGAAACUGCCUGAUGGAGGGGGAUAACUACUGGAAACGGUAGCUAAUACCGCAUACCAUCGGAUGUGCCCAGAUGGGAUUAGCUAGUGGGUGGGGUAAAGGCUCACCUAGGCGACGAUCCCUAGCUGGUCUGAGAGGAUGACCAGCCAAACGGGAACUGAGACACGGUCCAGACUCCUACGGGAGGCAGCAGGGGGGAAUAUUGGACAAUGGGCGCAAUCCGGAUGCAGCCAUGCCGCGGAUAUAAAGAAGGCCUUCGGGUGGUAAGGUACGUUCAGCGGGGAGGCGUUACCCGCAGAAGAAGCACCGGCUAACUCCGUGCCAGCAGCCGCGGUAAUAC